AACGAACGCUGGCGGCAUGCCUAACACAUGCAAGUCGAACGGGAACUUCGGGCUUUGUGGCGCACGGCGACGUGAGAACUGGGGACCUACACUUGAGUAAGGAAUAACUGCCCGUAGGGGGUCCUAAUAAAGGUGAAUGUAAUACCGCCAAAGAGCUAUCGCCUCUGGGUGGGCGUGGGUUGGAUUAGGUGGUUGGUAGGGUAAAAGCGGCCCAAGGCGACGAUGGGUAGCUGGUCGGAGAGAAUGAUACGCCACACUGGGACUGAGACACGGCCCAGACUCCUACGGGAAGCAGCAGUGGGGAAUAUUGUACAAGGGGCGAAAGCCUGAUCCAGCAAUGCCGCGUGAGUGAUGAAGGCCUUAGGGUUGUAAAGCUCUUUUACCCGGGAUGAUAAUGACGGUACCGGGAGAAUAAGCACCGGCUAACUCCGUG
rnacentral:rRNA from 1 species